rnacentral:SRP_RNA from 1 species
GCCAGGUGUGGUGGUUCAUACCUGUAAUCCCAGCUACUUGGGAGGCUGAUGCAGGAGAAUCGCUUGAACCCAGGAGGCAGAGGUUGCAGUGAGCUAAGAUCACGCCACUGCACUCCAGCCUGGGUGACAGAGUGAGACCCUGCCUUAA